CCAGCACCCGCGGUAAUUCCAGCUCCAAUAGCGUAUAUUUAAGUUGCUGCAGUUAAAAAGCUCGUAGUUGGAUUUCGGGUGGGGCCUGCCGGUCCGCCGUUUCGGUGUGCACUGGCCGGGCCCACCUUGGUGCCGGGGACGGGCUCCUGGGCUUGACUGUCCGGGACCCGGAGUCGGCGAGGUUACUUUGAGUAAAUUAGAGUGUUCAAAGCAGGCCUACGCUCUGAAUACAUUAGCAUGGAAUAACACGAUAGGACUCUGGCCUAUCCUGUUGGUCUGUAGGACCGGAGUAAUGAUUAAGAGGGACAGUCGGGGGCAUUCGUAUUUCAUUGUCAGAGGUGAAAUUCUUGGAUUUAUGAAAGACGAACUACUGCGAAAGCAUUUGCCAAGGAUGUUUUCAUUAAUCAAGAACGAAAGU
rnacentral:rRNA from 1 species